rnacentral:snRNA from 1 species
UAACUUUUCAUUUUUGGCUGAGGGCA